rnacentral:misc_RNA from 1 species
AAGUCGUAACAAGGUUUCCAGUAGGUGAACCUGCGGAAGGAUCAUUAAUGAGAUCAUGCCUUCGGGUAUGACUCCACCCACUGUUCACCGUUACCCGUUGACUUUGGCGGUCCCGUCGCAGACGGCCGCCAGAAGGACCUUUAAAACCCGUAUUAUCAUUGUCGUCGUGAGUACUAUCAAUAGUUAAAACC